rnacentral:rRNA from 1 species
AGAGUUUGAUCCUGGCUCAGGAUGAACGCUAGCGGUAGGCCUAACACAUGCAAGUCGUGGGGUGACAGGGGUUUCGGCCCGCUGACGACCGGCGCACGGGUGAGUAACACGUAUGCAACCUGCCUUUAACUGGAGCAUAGCUCCGAGAAAUCGGAAUUAAUACUCCAUAAUGUCUAAUUAUCGCAUGAUAUUUAGAUAAAAGCUUCGGCGGUUAAAGAUGGGCAUGCGGGACAUUAGUUAGUUGGUGAGGUAACGGCUCACCAAGACAACGAUGUCUAUGGGGUCUUAAAGGAUGGUCCCACACACUGGUACUGAGACACGGACCAGACUCCUACGGGAGGCAGCAGUGAGGAAUAUUGGGCAAUGGACGAAAGUCUGACCCAGCCAUACCGCGUGCAGGAUGACAGCCCUAUGGGUUGUAAACUGCUUUUGUACGAGAAGAAAAUACCCUACGUGUAGGGAACUGACGGUACCGUACGAAUAAGGAUCGGCUAACUCCGUGCCAGCAGCCGCGGUAAUACGGAGGAUCCAGGCGUUAUCCGGAUUUAUUAGGUUUAAAGGGUGCGUAGGCGGAAAUAUAAGUCAGUGGUGAAAUCCUGCAGCUCAACUGUAGAACUGCCAUUGAUACUGUUUUUCUUGAGUAUAGUUGAGGUGGGCGGAAUGUGUCAUGUAGCGGUGAAAUGCUUAGAUAUGACACAGAACACCAAUUGCGUAGGCAGCUCACUAAACUAUCACUGACGCUGAGGCACGAAAACGUGGGGAGCGAACAGGAUUAGAUACCCUGGUAGUCCACGCCGUAAACGAUGAUUACUCGCUGUGUGCGAUAUACAGUACGCGACUGAACGAAAGUAUUAAGUAAUCCACCUGGGGAGUACGUUGGCAACAAUGAAACUCAAAGGAAUUGACGGGGGCCCGCACAAGCGGAGGAACAUGUGGUUUAAUUCGAUGAUACGCGAGGAACCUUACCUGGGCUUAAAUGCAGAGCGACUAGCGCCGAAAGGUGCUUUCCCUUCGGGGCGAACUGCAAGGUGCUGCAUGGUUGUCGUCAGCUCGUGCCGUAAGGUGUCGGGUUAAGUCCCAUAACGAGCGCAACCCCUAUCGUUAGUUACUAACAGGUAAUGCUGAGGACUCUAGCGAAACUGCCGGUGUAAACCGUGAGGAAGGUGGGGAUGACGUCAAAUCAGCACGGCCCUUACGUCCAGGGCUACACACGUGUUACAAUGGCUGGUACAAUGGGCAGCUACUUGGCAACAAGAUGCUAAUCUCCAAAACCAGUCUCAGUUCGGAUCGAAGUCUGCAACUCGACUUCGUGAAGUUGGAUUCGCUAGUAAUCGUAUAUCAGCAAUGAUACGGUGAAUACGUUCCCGGGCCUUGUACACACCGCCCGUCAAGCCAUGGAAGC